GAUGAACGCUGGCGGCGUGCCUAAUACAUGCAAGUCGAGCGAACGGACGCGAAGCUUGCUUCUCUGAUGUUAGCGGCGGACGGGUGUGUAACACGUGGAUCACCUACCUAUAUUACUGGGAUCACUUCGGGAAACCGGAGCUAAUACCGGCUAAUAUUUUGAACCGCAUGGUUCAAUGGAGAGAGACGGUCUUGGUGUCUCUUCUAGCUGGUUCCGCGCUGGAUUAGCUAGUUGGUAAGGUAACGGCUUACCAAGGCUACGAUGCCUAGCCGACCUGAGAGGGUGAUCGGCCACACUGGAACUGAGACACGGUCCAGACUCCUACGGGAGGCAGCAGUAGGGAAUCUUACGCAAUGGGCGAAAGCCUGACGGAGCAACGCCGCGUGAGUGAUGAAGGUCUUCGGAUCGUAAAACUCUGUUAUGAGGUAAGAACAGAUGUGGAAGGAAAUGUGCACAUCUUGACGGUACCUAAUCAGAAAGCCACGGCUAACUACGUG
rnacentral:rRNA from 1 species